rnacentral:rRNA from 1 species
CCUACGGGAGGCAGCAGUAGGGAAUUUUCCGCAAUGGGCGAAAGCCUGACGGAGCAAUACCGCGUGAGGGAUGACGGCCUGUGGGUUGUAAACCUCUUUUCUCAAGGAAGAAGUUCUGACGGUACUUGAGGAAUAAGCAUCGGCUAACUCUGUGCCAGCAGCCGCGGUAAUACAGAGGAUGCAAGCGUUAUCCGGAAUUACUGGGCAUAAAGCGUCUGUAGGUGGUUUGGUAAGUCUGCUGUUAAAGACUGGGGCUCAACCCCAGAAAAGCAGUGGAAACUGCCAGACUUGGGUGUGGUAGAGGUAGAAGGAAUUCCUAGUGUAGCGGUGAAAUGCGUAGAUAUUAGGAAGAACACCAAUGGCGAAGGCAUUCUACUGGACCAUAACUAGACACUGAGAGACGACAGCUAGGGGAGCAAAUGGGAUUAGAUACCCCAGUAGUCCUAGCCGUAAACGAUGGAUACUAGAUGUUGCACGUAUUAACCCGUGCAGUAUCGUAGCUAAGGCGUUAAGUAUCCCGCCUGGGAAGUACGCUCGCAAGNGUGAAACUCAAAUGAAUUGACGGCGUGAGACGNGCGAGACGACGACGAGGGAGAGG